GCCAGAGCGGGAGGGCGGGGCGACGCGGUGCGAUGGUUUCGGGUCCGCGGCAGGUGAUACCCGCACGCUGCUUCGUGUGCGCUGUCGUUAGGGCGCCGUGGCCUCGCGUCCGGCGUGGGACUCUGGCGAGGAGACGGAGGAUCAAUCUCCUGGUACAUUAGGCAGACUUGUGCAAACCCAAGAACAGCAUAGAGGUUGCUAUAGAGGACAGCCUUACUGUGGCCCUUCAUUACCUUAACCAAAGAUGAUUCAUCAGCGGAGGAGCUUAUGAAAAGCAGAAUUAGGACUCAAACGAACAAGAAACUCCACAGAGAGUAAUGCGAGAUUAUCAUUUAUGGGUCUAAGAAGACAGAGGGUAUAGGACGCUGGCAGUCAAGGCUGAAUUCCAUCCCCAGAUCCCAACUCAUGGAAGCUUCGCACAGAAGCCGGUUGUCAUCCUCUGAGCUGCUCUAAUGAGAUGCAAGGACCGAAGGAUGGCUGAGGGCCAGGGAGGAGCUCAAUCCUGUCCUUGGGAGUCGGUCUGGUCACGUUCUCUUCUUUCAAGCUGAAGAUGGCACCCGCUCGGCUAAGCCGGUGAAUGUGGACUUACAAGGACUCAGCCAAGUCGUGUCUAGAUUACAGGCCAAAGAUGACGAGGGAAAGAGAGCACCAGGCAAAACAAAUUUUAAUUACAAUAAUGAUGAAUGGUCCAAUAGAGCUGCAAGAUAAUGGAAGGAAGAUGGGGUACCUGAAGCCAGCUCGUUAAAAUCAGAAAAGGUGUCCUCGAGGAAACGUGGGUCCCAGACUUAAGGUAAGUAUAAAACUAAUGAGUGUGAAUAUGGCAGAAUGAACACAGCGAAGGAGUAAGGAGAGCUAAGGGGUCCAGUUGUCAAAUGAGCAGGGAGAUGGCAUGUGAUUACUUGAAGAAGAGGGAGGACCCUCUAGGGAGUAGGGGGCUGCUGACAGAAGACAAAACUGAGGGGUUGAGCGGUCUGAACAGGAGAGGUGAGGACACACCUUCUGGUGGUGGCAGAGGGAGGGGGUCUAGGGGAGAUGGCUUAUUACUCAGGGUGGGGCAAGGAUAGGCAGCAAAAGCAUCAGGGGCUGGUCUCGGAGUCCGGUCUGGCGAUGCUAUAGCAGAAAGGUUAGGGCUGCCUGCUCACAGGAUUCGGGUAAAGCCUGAGACAGAGGGGUGGGGGAGGGGAGACAACUGUUCUGAUCCAAACUUCCUAACUUUAGAGCAUACACAUCAGCAACUGAUGAGUCGCACUUGAGGUGGAAACCAAUAUGCCAGUGCCAUUUGGUGGAAGAACACAUGGGAGAGGAUGCCUUACUGACCUGGGAGGAAUUUUGAGUGUGACUUUAUUUAUCGCUGUGUUUUAGUGAUUUGUAGUCAGUUUUUUAAUAAGACUGGGAAGACCAUUUCCUUUUUUUCCUUUUUUUUUUUGUUUUUUGUUUGUUUGUUUGUUUUGUUUUGUUUUUUUUAGACAAAGCUUAGGUGGCCCAGGCUGACCCUGAACUUCUGAUCUUCUUGCUUUGCCUCUGGAGAGUUGGGGGUUACAGAAGGGCACCGUCGUGCUUUGCUUAGGAGACCUUGAGAAUUAGCUGUGUUGACUUGGAGAGCACACUUUACUUCAGGAUGACCCACAGACUCUAUUCUCAUCCACUGGUUGUGGUAGUUUGUUCAGUUCUUCCAUUUUAGGUACCUUUGCCCCAAGCUCAAGCGUUUUUUAUUUAGACAUCAAUAGAAUAGGAGCUGACAGCACAUCAAAUUUACGUGUAUUUUAUUUCAUUUUUAUAGAUGAAUUCUGUAUUUACAUCCUUCCAUUCUUCCCCCCUCAAUUUUUCCUGUUUCCCUAACUCCUUUUAAAAUUCACAAUCUCUUAAUUAUUAUCAUUAUAUAUGAAUGCAUAUGUAUAUAUCUAUACAUGCUACACAAAUAUAGCAAUAAUAUUAUACACACCCACAACCUGUUGAGUUCCUUUAGUGUUCUCAUAUGUAUGUGAGUUUAGGGCUGACUACUUGGCAUUCUAAUUUUGAGCCUAGACUUUAAUGGCUGAGACAUCUCUCCAGCCCAGGGCUAGCCACUUAGGGUUAGAUAACCCAAUUGGUGGCUGGUCCCUGGAAAAGACUGCUUCUCCCUCUCUUAAUAGCCAUUGGUUACCUGUAGCUCUUCAUUGCAUGGUGGGGUCCUGUGAGUGAUAGCAUUUCAUGAUCCUUGCUAACGAUUUGGUCACUGUUUUCUUUUCAAAGAGCGAUACUGCCCAAGAUGUUUCUGCCCAGAGUGUCAGGGCAAGCGUACAUGCUUUACUGUGGAUCUAUGACACAGAUGCAUGCCCGCUUUCCAGCAAAAGUCUGCUCACCUGCUGGGCAGGGCUCUCCGUUUUUUUUUUUAUUGAGUGGUGAAGACACAUAGCAUUCCCACUACUUAAUCUUGACGCUUUGAACUUUUCAAGCUGUUUUUCCUUCCCCUUUAGUCUGGAUAGCCGCUGUGUCCCCACAAGAGGAGGAACAGUCAUGGAGAAACACAACUGAACUUUACUGUGGCAAAAAGAAAGGGAAAAUAACAAUUAUGAGGUCUGGACAUCGAGCCUGAGGCUGGUGUUAAAAAAAAAAGAAUGCUUAUGUCUGCAUAACUUAACUUGUAUCUCUUCAGUAAAUCAAACCUGCUAUUCCACUUGACUGCAUCCAAGUCACUUAGAUGUCUGCCAACAAGAACAUUAAUGAACUCAGUAUCUCACGCAGGUUUGUUCAUGUAGAGCCCACAAUUGCUUAGCCUCCCUUCCAGCUGCUGCCUGGGCUCCAUCUGAAGGAGGUGGACAGCUGGACCAGGUCAUCACUUAACCCCAGGAUGUGGUAUGUCCUGGUCUUCAAGUCCUCUGUCUGGUUUUAGGAUGGCAUGGCUUUGAAAAGUAGUAGUUCUUGUCCUGAAAAACUUCAUGAAGCUUUGCUGCGUUCUGCCUUUGACGUAAGUGCCUGUCACAUGCUACAUAACUGACUAUGUUGUACUCUUGCUCUCUGGGGUCUCAGUUUACCUCCAUGGAUUUAUAAUUAAUGGGAUUAUUCCAGAACACAUUGUUACUCCUUAGAUUUCUCCAGAUGAUACGAGACGAUUAAGAGAAAUGCUGAAGUUGAUAUGAACCUAAUUUGUCAAAAAUGUAACAGAAUUAUAGAGAGAUCAGUCACUCCCAAACCUUUCUGCAGGUGGAGUCUAACGAAGGGAGGUCUAUAAAGUUCUAAGUCCCAGGCUGCGUGCCAGACCAAUAAAACCACACUUCUGAGGAUGGGCUUCAGGCAACAGUAGUAUGUUCACUCCACAGGUCAUCCCCAUGUGGAGACAUGUUUGGAAACCACAGAUCUGGACAAGGCCGUUGGCAACACGUCUGUGGCUCGUUCUCCCCUGCCCUGCCCUGCGGUUGGUGGCAUGUUUUUGGCUUUUUAGCAUCUUCCUUAUCUCCAUCCACAGAGAACUCCGAAGUUGGAAGCCUAAGCAGGAACACUGGACCAGACAUGACUGAAAGGUAACAACCAUUAAAGGAGCAAAGACCAAAAAGUGUGUCUGAAGCAGAUGGCUGCACUUCCCGCUGGGUCGAUGCUAAUUUUUAAGCAUGUUACUAAUGACAAAGUUUUUUUUUUUUCCUCUUGCAAUUUCAGACACCAAAGACUUUUCAAACAGUUUGUGAACUCUGUUUAAUGAGAUACAAGUCUCUUUUAUGCUGUAAGCUUUAGACUUCCCUUGCUUUGGGACUUGGUUGGGUUAGUGACUGUGAAACAGGAAGUUCUAUGAGCACGGAGUGAGGACUGUCCACUUGUCAUGUUUAAAGAAUCACAAUCUGAUGCAAACAAAAGAGUAGGUAUUGAAAGCCUUACAUUUCUGUGUAUAGACAAUACAUUACUUAUUUAUAGAAAUAACUACUUAGCUGUCCAGAAACUGAGGGGAAGGGGGUUUAAUUAUAGCAACAAUGUUUACUCGUAGGUGAAUUUACAUGUUGGAGCUCAGAGCUCUAACACUGCACAAAUAAUUGCUUGCUGGCUUGUAAAAUUUUAGGACUAGCAGAGGAACUCAGUUAUUUUGCCAGCUCUACCUUGGGAGAGACAGAUUGAAAUAAAAUUGCAACUCGAGUUUUUGGAUGACUCCAAUUAUCUAAAUAGAUGUGGCCUUAAUUUAAAGAAGUUUAUGAACAAGUUCACUAUAUAUAUUUCACUAUUUUUAAGCUUUAGUCAACUUAGAAGCAAUGGAUACUUCGUUCCUGAUCUAUUGCUUACUUAAAAACUUUCCAUGCUAAUAUGUAAAAGACCUUGUGCUUCAUUCGUCUCUGACUGCUAGCACCGACCGAGCAGUAGAAACCAAAGACUCAUAGCUAUAAUCUAAUCAUUCAUAAUAUCUCUUAGGAAAAAAAAUUCCAGAAACAAUUCUGGUUGGGAAAUGCAUUUUUAAUAUGUAUAUAUAUAUGUAUACUGUACAUAAUUGUUCUGUAUAUAACUGUUUGAGGUGUAUUACUACAAUGGAAUGAGUCCCACAGGAUACUAGAAUUUAGCUUACAGUGUUGGAAGGCCGGAGAGUCCUGACUCCGUGACUAGUUCAUCUCAUGUUGAUUGGCAGGCACCAACAGCUGGACCACAUUAGCUGUUACACACGAGCCAGAACAAAAAGGCCAGGCUUACCACCUUAAAACCACCUCGUAGGCCCUCAGUGGAGGGGGCCCGGGAAGAUGACUUGAUGGUUAGAAGCAUUGGCUGCUUUUCCAGAGCACCCACAUGACAGCUAACAACCAUUUAUAGCUCUAGUUCCAGGGGACCUGAAGCCUUCUUCUGGCCUCUGCAAGCAGUGAACACCCCCUUUGCAUGGACAUACACGAAGGCCAAACACAUAAAAUAAAAUAAUAAACCUUCAGGGGCUCUAGAGCACUUCCUUCCCAAGGCAUGCUCUGCGGACUUCUUUCUUGGAGAUAGUCCAAGGCCUCACCUUUGAAAGGGAUGGCUACCUCUAAAUAUCACCACUGUGAAGACCCAGGGUACACUAUAUGAACACUCACAGAGACACAAACUCUAUUAAGAGUUUCUAUUAUUAGAAAUAAACUUUUAUCCAAGAUGUGGAAAUUACAAUGGUCACCAUUUUUCGUAUAAGAAUUUUAGCUCUAUCAUUACUGAGGAAAUUAUGAACAGCUGGAGUGUGCUACUAGCGUGUGUAGGACAUAGAGUCCAGGGGCCUGUGUCCACAUUGCAGUUACUCUAAUAUCCAGUGGCAUUUUAUUUGUCUUUUGCUAAAAUGCCUUUUUAAUGUACACAUUUGCAUUUUGUCCCAGAGGGCACUUGGGCCAAUCCACAGGAAAUGUCAUCUCCUGUCUGCCAGUUUUAAAUUUCAUUCCAAGGAAGGGCUGCCAUUAUAGAGGUAAGCCAAUAGCCACUAAUCGCCAUACACCAGGACUUUGAAUUGAGCCUGGGAAUUUGUGUGCAAGCGUGAAUCUUCCCAGAAAUUAACCCAGUGACAAGGUUGCGAGUUAGAGAUGGCAUUUCCCAUCUCGUCCCAGAAGCAGUUAUGUCAGGGGAAGCCGAGUUCUGCCUGCUGCCGUUUGUCUUUUGUUUUGUUUUGUCCAACAGUGGACUAUCAUCUAAGUUAAACGACCUAACCUUUAAGUAAGGUUAUAUAUCUGUUUCCUGCCUCCUGCCCCUUUUGCAGAAUGCUGGCUUAUUGAAACACAAUAACAGGAGACAAUUGUCCUGGUUAACUUUGUAUUGUCAACUUCAUACAACGUACAGAAAGAUCAGUUGGUUACGGUUUGAGUCCGAUUUACCGUCGUCUGUGCCUGGGUCAGCUCCUGUUAGUUUGGUUUUUUUGUUUUUAUUUUUGUUUUCCCUUUUUUUUUUUUUUUUUUUUUUUUGGAGCUGGGGACCGAACCCAGGGCCUUGUGCUUGCUAGGCAAGCGCUCUACCACUAAGCUAAAUCCCCAACCCCUGUUUUGUUUUGUUUUGUUUUGUUUUUUUCAAAGAAGGGAAGUUCCCUAAGGUCGGAAGAUGACACAGGCAGAAGCAGGAAACUCAGGCAACACCCUCAAGCUGCAAAGCAUUGAUGCUUCUGUGUCACCAAGUAAUGACCUAAAGACAACUGUUUGUCUUGAGCACUGCUCUGUAUAGUUGGGUCUUAAGUUAUAUCAGUAAUCAGAAAAAAAGAGAUGAAAAAUAUUUGCUUGCAAGCCAAAGUGACGCGUCUUGCAAACGUUCAAAUAAUUUCUGCUUGUAACUGCAACUGUGGUUAAGGGGAAGAAAGGAAAGGGGCCGAAGAAGAGUGCGACCAGAACAUCAGGACCUGCAGUCUCUUCUAAGCCACAGCCCUCCCUAUGUAUGUACCCAUUCCCUGAAUGAACCCCAACUCGCCACUUAAGUAUUCCCUGUCUGCUUUUCUUUACAGUUCUGCCUCUGAGUCAUCGUGAAAACAAGUGGAGUCCUUUGUCUGGUUUCUUCCCUUCCUUGUGUGUGUGACCGAGUUAUUCAUUUUCUUUACUAUGUAGUAUUCUGUUAUGUAAACACAUGGCCACCUGCUUUAGCCAUCCCGUUGGGUGCAACAUUUAGGUUAGUCAUGAGUCCCUAUUCCAUAUAAUGUCGCUGUGGAUAUUCUGAAUGCACCUCCCACCCCCCCCUUCCCAGUGUUUUGAGAUAAGGUCUUGCUAUGUGGUCCAUUCUGACCUUGAACUUCCUGAUCAGCCACUCGAGUGCUGGGAUUACAUUCUCAAACCACAGUGCCUGGCUACCUUCCACCUUUCCCUUCCACCAGCUCUGGGCACUAGUGGGCUCACAUCUCUGUUAAAAAUAAUUCUUUGUAUCGAUGAUAAAUGUACAACUAUUCUUUUGGUCAUUCUAAGAUGGUGGAUGCCUUCUGGACACACUGAUAGAAAUUUCCAUCCAGAGAAUCUGGGAGCUGAGGAGAGGGCUCACUUGAUAAAGAGCUCACUACGAGAGCAUGAGGACCUGAGUUCAGAUCCCCAGCAGGAACCUAAAAGGGGAGGUAUGGUGGGAUGUGUCAGUAAUCCCAGUACUGGAGGAAGAGGGACUUAAGCCAAAUCAGUGAGUCAGCUCCUGCCUCAGUGGAAGACCCUUUUAGAAAAAGAAACGAGUGAAGAACAAUAACGACAUCUAACAUGGACCUCUACCCUCCACGGCAAAUCAGAGCACACAGCAUGGCACCCCAGGCAACAUGAAAAGACAAUGCUCUGCAGAGUUCCUUUUUGUUUCGGUUUCCCUGCAGUCCAGGUCCAGGGUCAUUAAAGACUGACCUCUCACAGGGCUUCAUACUCUUCAACAUGAUUUCUAUGCUUAUAGAAAAAAAAAGCCAGAAUUUGUGUUUUUACCAUAGGACUUUUAUAUACAUGUGUGUAUAUGCAUAUUUAUUUCGUGUAUAGGUAAAUAUGCGAAAACACAUGCACGAUUACUAUAGCACAUGUAUGGAGCUCAGAGGACAACUUACGAGUCUGCUCUUACCUUGCUUUUAGUCAGGGCAUCUCUUGUUUCUGCCACUACUCUGUGUACAUGCCCGCAAGCUUCUAGCCAGUCCUGUCCUGCUGUUUCUGCCUGCCAUCGUGGCAUAAGAGUGUCAGGAUUCCAAGGAGUACCACAAAAUUCAGCUUUUUGUCUUAGUAAGGGUUUCUAUUCCUGCACAAACCAUCACGACAAAGAAGCAAGCUGGGAAAGAAAGGGUUUAUUCUGUGUACAUUUCCACAUGACUGUUCAUCACCAAAGGAAGUCAGGACAGGAACUCACACAGGGCAGGAACCUGGAGGCAGGAGCUGAUGCAGAGGCCAUGGAGGGAUGCUGCUUACUGGCUUGCUUCACUUGACUUGCUCAGCUUGCUUUCUUGUAGAACCCAAGACUACCAGCUCAGGGAUGGCACCAUCCACAAUGAGCUGGGCCCUCCCCGCCUUGAUCACUAGUUGAGAAAAUGCCUUUCAGCUGGAUCUCAGGAAGGCAUUUCCACAACUGAGGCUCCUUUUCUGUCAUAACUCCAGCUUGUGUCAAGUUAACACACAGAACCAGCCAGUACAAUAGCCCCCUGAAUACCCCACCUCCCACUGCCUGUGAGUGUGAAUGUCCCUGUUUGUAACCAGCAUUCCCACUGUCAUUUCUGCCUCAUGCCACUGCCCCUCCCUCCCUGAGCUGUGCUGCAGCAAAUGACCACACCCACUUCCAUACCUUCCUCUCCCCGCCCCGGCUGGCAGACACCCAGGGCCAGAGUGUCCCAUGGAUUGGACACCCUCUUCGCCUUCCUUUUCCAACCAUUUAUGAAACUCUUUCUGCCAGCCACGCCUGUUUUGUUCAAUUUAAGCUCCAUGUUAUCUACAUAUAAUUGGCAAAUAAUAAACACCUAAUCUAUAAGUAUUUUUUAAACCUACAUUUUUAAGUAGAUAUGCGUUAUGUUGACACUCGGACAAAGAUGCCAUCAAAAUCGUUUUGAGUUUGCAUUGCUGUUAACUUGAUGACCAGCCACAGGCAGAUUAACUUUUUUAACUUUCAUGUUAAGUGGGAUGAUGUUAAAAAGUUAUAGUACCCAAAUGAUGGCACAUGCUUAUGACUGUGUACCCCAAGUCACUCUAAAGACUUGACGUCUAUUAAGUGAUGUGAUCUGGAAAAUGGUCUUGCCAACUUCAUGCUAUGACUGUCUUUAACUUACAGGAGAGGUAGGUGCUUUUGUAUAUCUUGUUUCAUAGAUGGAGACACGAAGACUCCAAGGUCAUAUAGCUGGAAUUCAAGCACUGUUGUCCAGGACAGCCUGCUGCCUGACACUUACGCAAUGUCUUUGUACAGUAAUUGUUUCACAGUGCGCCCUGGCAAGAAAUAGCAUAUAACAUGAAAAGCAAUGAUGGCUCACGGUCAUGACAACCGCACAGUCAGACCAAGAGGGCUAUCCACUCUUAGCCUGAUGAGAAACAGGUAACAAUAUUUCUUACUACCUGGAGUUUAAAGUCUCUGUGUUGUAAUAGGUGAAGUGAGCUGAGCGCUUUAUGUAGAAGACAGAGUUAGAAAUAGAGUCCACAUUUCAAACUAAAGUGGAAAGCUAGCAAAACAUACUUCCAGUCGAUAGAGAUCGAGGGAGUGACCCAUGAUACACAGGAGAUAGCAGAAUAAAUAAUGCGUCUCAGAAGGAGCUGGGGAAGUAGCCCAGUGCUUGUGAGGGAAAAAAGCAAAAGCUUGAGAGACAUAGUUCCAGCCUCGGAUUUAAAAGCAGCUUAAAAAAAAAGUCCACAGACCCAUUAAUGUGAGGAGUGUAUACAGCUGGCACAUGAUAGGUGCUCAACAUAUCCUCGGUGACUCUCUGACAAUCCUUUAAAAAAUGUAAUUUGCGUUUCCAGUCAGAAGUGCAAGCACAACGGAAAAAGGAAGCUAAUGUCUGAAAAUUAUAGAGGCUGGGAAGAACAGAGGUACUGAUGCAGGGCUGGAGAGAGCAGAAGCCCAAAUGGGCGGUAUGCAAAGAUGAAGGGAAACUCAAUUUACAUUUCAAAGUCCCCUAAGACUCUGGCAAGUGAGGGUGAAGAUGAGGUUAAGGUUUCUCUGACAGUGUGUUAAUGAAGCAAUUAUUCUUUUAGCCCUUUUCCUGCUUUGCGUGCAGCAACAGCUCUGACCCUCUCUGCAUGCCGACUGUUGCCUGUCAAACCAGCACACUCCUGGCAGAAAAUAGAAAUCUGCUCUAGGGAAGGAAAGGAGCACCCCAACAUCAAGAGAGUCCUUAGGAGUACCCCAACAUCAAGAACUCCCUCAGGGGAUAGCUAUGAGUUUGACUUUGGGAGUCCCCAAGUGAUGGACCCAGCUAGAUUUUGGGACAUGGGGGCCAGGGGUGGCUUUAGUCAGUGAAAUACAACCUUGGGGGUUUCAAAUCAGCAUAGUCGUGACUAUACAACCAGGCAAUGGGAGCGAGGGGGGAAGCAAGGAAACUCUCUGAUAUGACAGAUUCCCAAAAGUCUCGGAGGAAACAGUCUCUUAAGGAAGAUGGCAACCACUAUUAACACAUUCAAAGAGCAUCCAAAGAUUAGACAACUUCUUACGUUUUUGUGUGGUGUGGUGUGAUGUGCGUGUGUAUUGUGUGUGUGUUGUGUAUGUGUGUGUGCUUUUUUUAAAUGAUGCUAUCCUAAAAACAAAUAGUCACUUAGAGAACAAGGAAAAAAUUAAUUAGCUUUUUAGAAACUAAAAUUAUGCCUGCCAGCAAAUACAAAACUUAUUUAGAUAAAAUAGGAGAUAGACAUAAAAAAAGUAGAUUUUUUUUUGGUUUGUUUGUUUUUGUUUUUAAAGAUGUGGAAAGGAGGAAAGAAAAGAUAAGAAAAUUUGAAGACCAAUGCAAAAGAUUUGAUACCCGAGUAAUGGGAGUUCCCUAAAAGGGAAAAAGAAAAGGGCUAGGGGGGAGAGAGAACUGGAAAAUGUAAUUUGAGAAAUUAUUAGAUGAAGGCUCAUUAGUUCGAACAGCUAAUUAGGGCUGGUGAGAUGCUUGGAUGCCAGCACAAAGACAUGAGUUCAAGACUCAUGUGAGGACACACACACAUACUCACACAUUCACACACACACACACACACAGUCUCUCUCACACACACAGUCACACACACUCUCACACACAUAGUCACAUACACACAGUCACACACACUCUCUCUCUCACACACACAGUCACACACUCACACACACACAGUCUCUCUCUCACACACACAGUCACACACACUCUCUCUCACACACACACUCACAUACACACAGUCACACACACUCUCACACACACAGUCACAUACACACAGUCACACACACUCUCUCUCACACACACACUCACAUACACACAGUCACACACACUCUCUCUCUCACACACACACACUCACACACAUUCACACACUCACACACAUUCACACACACACAGUCACACACAGUCUCUUUCUCUCUCUCACACACACACACAGUCUCUCUCUCUCACACACAGUCACACACACUCUCUCACACACACUCACAUACACACAGUCACACACACACUCUCACACACACACAUUCACACACACUCACACACAUAUUCACACACACGCACACAUUCACACGCACAGUCACACACAGUCUCUCUCUCUCUCUCUCUCUCACACACACACACACACACACACACACACACACACACACACAGAGCUUGCCAUGAUGGCUGUUUGUAAUCCCAAUGCUGGGGAGGCAGAGACCACCGGAUUCAUUGGAGCUUGCUGGCCAGCCAGCCUAGCCGAUCCAGAGUCCCAAGGCACUGAGUGAAAUCCUCUGUCUCCAAAAAAAAAGAAAAGUGAAUAUAGUGGGAGUAUGAGGUUGUCUUCUGACCUCCACAUGCAUGUACACAUAUGUACCUCCACACACACACAUGUGCACCUAUACACACAGCAACACUCACAGGCGGAUGUGCACACACCAAAGGAACAGCUAAUUAAGUAAAGAAACCAAGGGAAGCCAAGUACAGACCAAGGACAAGUGUGUGUCACAGAUCCUGUUUAAUAUAAACCCAUGAACCUCAGUUUCAAUAAAAAAAUUAUGUAGGAAGGAAAUAAAGUCAUAGCGUGUUACUCAGCACAGGACGAGAGCACUUAAGUAAUGUACGGGUGGAAUAAUGACCUAAGCCAUUGUCACAGAGCCAAGCGGGGAGAUGCAGCGUAUGAAUCUGAGGCAGAGCAGGAAGUACAUAACAACCAGAUCCUGAUUUUCUUUAUUGGGAAAUCAACAGAUAAUGUCUGAAGUGGAAAAGUUGAGAAUUUACAAUAUGAAUUAGAACUAAGAAGAAAUACAGAGUCUGCAGCCAGACAGAGUUAAAGAUGGUUGCCUGCAGGUGUGCUUUGGUGGAGCCCGGAGGGAGAGAGGAAAUUGAUAUUUGGAACAAGGUUGUGAAAGCUGUUUGACUCUCUAUAUUUAUAUAUAAACUUUUAAUUUGUUAUUACGUGUGGGAUGUGAGAGUGGGCGCAUGUAUGGAGGUCACGGGAACUUUCCCUCUCUUGGGGAAUUAGUUCUCUCCUUCCACCCUGGGCUCCAGAGAUUGGGCUCAGGGAUUUUGGCUUUCAUAGCCAAUGCCUUUCUUCACAUGCAGAACUGUCUCACCAGACCCAUUUGACUAUUUGUAAACUCUAUAAAUUUAGGAAAAAUAAGCUACAUGUUAGUUAGAAGGCGUUAUCAGAAACAACUAAAAAUAAUCACAGAGCAGAGCACAGAGGAAACUCAUGACUCAAGAUAUUCUGCCUAAAAUUUAUUCUAUGGUUUAUCUAUUGACUCAACAAUUUAAUUUUUAGCAAAUUUUUCCACCACUAAUUAUGACUGUUGUUGUUAGUGUUGUUGCUGUUGUCCACUAUGCAGCCCUCCCUUGCUGCUCCGGAACUCACAGAGGUUUGCCUGCUUGGCUUCCCAAAGGAUUAAAGGUGUGUGGCACUUCUUUACCCUCCUCCCCCUUUUCCAGUUAAAAAAAGAGGAAACAGGUGUGUAAGGAGCACUUGCAUAGGCUUUGUUAGAUCGAAGUUUUUAGUCCAUAGACCUCAAAUUCUGAAAAGAGGUUAAGCUUUCAUAGGGAAAUUAUGAACUAAAAACACAGCUGUGCUCCUGUUUUGAUUCCAAAGAAAGAUUCAAUAAAAACAAUUGCAAACUUGUUAUUAGGUAAACUUCAGACUAGAAAAAGUGUAGAUUGAAUGAUGUAGCAUUGUUGAAUACCAUGAUAAAGGCAAUGAUCACACACAUACGCGCGCACGCGCGCGCACACACACACACACACACACACACACACACACACCACUUCUGGUAGAGAAUAUCCUUUUGUUCAGGCGUGCGUGAUGAAAGGCUACUGAGGCUGAACUUUUCACACAGUUUCUGUUAGCCAUAAACAGUAUGCCUUACCUUCUAGUUAAUGUAUAGCAAGCUUGGCGCUCACUCAAAUACAAUUUCCCAGAUCCUAGAUAUGGGCACGAGGCACCAGUCAAAGCUGCCCUCUUUGCCCAUUGACCUUACAACUAAUCUGAAACAGGCAUCUUUACCACAGCGAAUCCUGAGUUUACACACAGCCUUUAAAGUAUGUCCCUUAGUUUUGCUAGCUCUGAAAUGAGAAUAACCAUUCUGGUUCACCUUUUAUGGAUUUUCCAAAACAGUAGUUACAAUGCCCAUCUACAACUGCCAAUAAAUAAGUGAAAUAUUUGGUGGCUACUUAUCACAAUAAACAAAGAAAAUGUGAAUUUGAGUUUUAUAUCAAGGUGUGGACUGAGCUGUUUCAACUUUUCAGAGUGACUGCAUGAGCAGAUAUAAUAUAGCAAAGGAGAAUGAACCAUCUAAUUCAUACAUUAUAUAAUAAGUACAUACAUAUCCAAAUUUUAUUUACUAAAGUCUACCUCCUAACUCCUUGUCAAGGACAAAAUAUGUAAUUUUUUUGGUAUUAUGCUAAUUCAAGAGUUUACUUACGGUCACUGAACUGUCUACAUUCAGCUCGUACCAAAGUAAAUGGAUACAGGACAUUUUUUGCCCGUGCCAUAAGCAACAACUUGACAGGCCCCAUAAAGUUUUUGGUUACACAUAUUGAGUAACUACAUUUUGAAUUACAAGGAUGACAGACCCCAUGGCCAUUAAAAGUUACAACACCCCCACCCCAUUAGAUAUUGCAGUCAUAUCUAGCGUGUUCAUUUCUGCCUCCACAAUGGGUAACUAAGGAAACAAUGACAUCAUUGCCCAGCGGGGUUCAGUAACUUCUCCGCUUAGGCCUCUGGUUUGGGAAGCCUACAAUUUUUGCUAGCUCCCACCUCUGCCACUGGAAGAAACCCAUACAACUUUUCUUAUUUCUGAGAUACUGGUUAGGAAAAUUAUAUUCUAUCAUAAAUACAAAAUCAUAUUUAUAAUAACUUAAAUAAUAUACUGUACUGUUUCAGAAAAACAUGUUCUAAGGUGUACUAUUUCUGAGAAGUCCUGGGCAUUUGCAGUGGGAGAGUUUUUUGAGGUACAGUGACGAAACCAACUGUGUGAGUCCAGGUCCCCAAUAAUAAUCCCACCGAGCUAUGGCUUGUGGACCCUUGGCCUCUUGACAGCAUUCAACAAUAGAGUACUUUACUCUGUUUUGUUUUGUUUUCUUUAAGUGCUGGCCCUCUUUGUGCUUUGAAUUGUCCCUCAAAGGUUCAUGUUUGAAAGACUUGGUCCUCAGCUUGUGCGUUACUUUGAUGGCUGUGAAGUUUUCAGGGGGGUGGAGCCUUGAGGAUUGGGAUUAGGGGACUAGGGGUGGGCCUUUGAAGGUAAUCCCAUCCCUGGUCCCAUCUAGAUGGCCCUAGAACUCUGCUUCCUGUUGUGAUAUGACCUCAUGCUUGCGCUCUAGCACAACAGCCUAAACGUCUAUGGCCACUACAUUCUCCCCACCGUGGUGGACUGAAAUCCUCUGACUCUAUGAGCAAAAAUAAACCAUUCCUCCAGUAAAUUGCUCCUGUGAGGUAUUUGGUCACAGUGGUGAGAAAAAUCACUUGUGCAUUUUCCCCAAAAGUAGAGCCCAUGAUAAAACGUGUGAGUGUGUGUGUGUGUGUGUGUGUGUGUGUGUGUGUGUGUGUGUGUGUGUGUGUUGGCGGGGGUGGGGGUGAGGGGUAAUUUGGGCAAAGAUUCCAAGGAGCUUCACUUAGCAUUUAGAGUGCCAAAGGUGAGUUCAAAGUUAUGUUUUGGAGGCGUCCACAAUUACAGGUGAUUCCUGAAGAGAGUUGCGUGCCUUAGAACUGUCUGUGAGGGGGUCAAAGGGGAGCGAGCAUCUCAUGGGUCUUACCCCUCACAUCUCUGGGACAGAUUUACAAGCAUCACCUGCUCAGUUCCAGCUUCCGCAUGACGGCUGGUGGAUUCCUGAAGACUCCUACUCCAAGGGUACAGAGACUAAGGGCAGAAGUACCUGAGUGAGCAGGUACGCAGCCUCCUCAGUCUCCUUGCAGCAGUGAAUGGAGCUUACACUGAGCCAACAAUAGAAGAAAAACCACUCCACUUCCCUCACAAAGCUCUGGAGUAACUGGAUGGGGGAUUGGUGCUCACCUACUACAAGUCUCCCUCACUGUGAUUGUCAAACUUUUUCUCUCACAGGACUAAGCACCUUCUCUGUCCAUCGAUUGUCGUUCUCUUUCUAUAUCUGCCAAAUUGCUGGGUAUUGCUACCUGGAAGUCUCUGUCCUGGCAGUUUUACGUGGUGGGUUCUAAAAUUUUCACUCAAAUAUUAUCCACCCAAAGAUGCCUUCUUGGAACAUGCAAAAAAAAAAAAACUUUAUUAGUUACACAGUCUCUUUUCAUUUUGCGUUAUAUUACGUGUCUGCGCGGCACUCGCUCUUCUCAGGUAUUUUUCCUGGCCUACUGACUAUUGAACUUCAGUGAAACUCCAUGAGGACAAAGACCCUAUCUGAGUGGGUGCAGUGUUAGUUCCUAGUGGGUCCUACUGGGCCAAUUACCCACUGAGUGAGUAGAAAGUGAGAAUUAAAAAAAAAACAUAUAAAAUAAACAGGAGUUUAAAGAGAAUUCUUAUUGAGGAGAGAUACAAGAAGGAAGAGAAGUUUUGAUUCGUGUCUAACGAUUCACUUUUAAAACAGGCAAGGACCAGGUCUGGACUUCAUCAUUUACUAUCUGUGCAGUUUUAGACAAAUCGCUGAGCUGCCGUUCACUUGUUGGGUUGAUUGGUUGGUCCUUGUGAUGCUGGGGAUCAAACCCAAGGACCUCACACAUCUGCACAUGCUAGGCGGGUGCUGUGCCACAGGGCACCCUACAUCCCCUGUCCUAGCAUUUUAAACUUUCAGAUGAAUAUAAUGCUUAUCUCCCUGAGCCGCUGUGAGGAGAUAUAUUACAUUAUGUAAUGAUGCAGAGGAAACGCUGAGCAUGGCGUCUGCCCCAUGGUCAAUGCUAGGUACAUCCCAAUGACUGUCAUCACCAGCAUCAGCAUCAUCUUCUGCAUCAGCAUCAUCUCCUUCAUCAUCGUUGUCACCAUCGCCGCGCUCAGUCUUACUUCUCCAUUUACUGAAAUAGCACACCAGAACUGUCAAGAAGAUGCUGGUUUUGUUUCAUAGCGUGUCUUCCUCAUCUCUACCUCAGCCUUAAACCUCCAUCUGAUUUCAUUUCUUCACCGUCUUUCACCAUACCGGUUAGGAACACAUCAUGGUCAUUGCCCAUUUUAUCUGUUACUUUUCUAUUGGUGUGAUAAAACACCAUAUCAAGGCUAGUUGGGGAAGAGUUUACUUGGGCUUAUGGCUACAGAGGUUUGGAGUCCAUGAUGGUAGAGUAAGGCAUGGUGGCAAGAUCCGAAGCCAGGGGUCAGAUGUUCAACUGCAGGCAUGAAACAGAGAAAGAGUGGACUCAGAAUGGCCUGAGUCUUUGAACUCUCAAGCCUGUCUCCUAUAACAUAAUUCCUUCAACCAGGCUACACUCCUACGUCUUCCCAAACAGUGACACCAACUAGGAACCAAUGCUUAAAUAUCAGACCCCACAUUCCCAUUCAAACCACCACCAAGUUCAUGAAAUGGACCCUACCGCCCACUGCCGAUCUUACCAUAAGCCUAGACUUGACCACUCGUUGGCUUACAGUCACGUUCUCUUUAUGGUUUUGUAUCACCUCAUCAUCCAUAUUUCUGCCUUAUACUUUAUAUUUCAAUCUUUACACUCUAUAGUUUAGUCUGGACCAAAUGUUUAUUGUCUCCACAAUGAAUCAGCUGAAGAACCUGGGUCAUCACUUUGAGUGUCUCUCAUGUAGCUUUGUUUGUAAGCCAGUCCAUCAUGGUCCUCUGUCUUCUGCAUUCUUUGAACACUGGAUCCAGACAUUUGACCAAACUCAGGUUAGAAAUUUUCUGUAAGAGUUCAGAUGGGUGUGUUGCCUCUCUUUUGAAAUGUCACCAUUGUCUAGCUCAGUGGUUCUCAACCUUACUAACCCUGUCCCCCCCCCCCCAACCAUCAAAUUAUUUUUGUUGCUGUUUCACAACUAUAUUUUGCUACUAUUAUGAAUCAAAAUGUAAAUAGGCAACGCCAGUGGAGGGGUCACGACCCCCAGGUUGAGAACCACUGGUCUAGCUGCUUUAAUUUGUAGGGCUGAAAAGAAUAGUGAAAUGAAGAAAUGCUUCUGCCAUUUCAUUUAUUAGUUGGGACAAUUUUCAACAGAUGCUUCUUUUCAUCCAUUGUUGGUGAGUCAAUAAUAUGCAAGAAGGGUAAGAUAAAUGCUUGGCUUUUCCUCAACUUAAAAGUUUUUCCAAUGAAUUACUCCUAAAGUAGACAGUUUUUAAAAAAUAUAUUAUAGACAAUUGUGUAAACAUGUGAUAGGACUCAGCCCGCUGAAAUCCUUAUCCUCACUGAAAUUCAAACUGUUCUGCAGAGCCUUGUGGGGUUGCUCCCUGGGUCCUUCUAGACACAAUGUUGGGGACCUUUGUUCAUCCUGUCUAAUAUGACAACACACUCCUUUCUAAAUAGCUCUUGUCCCAGACCUAGACUCAAACAUCCCUUCUUCCUAGAAACUCUGGCUUAUUUCUGCAGUAAAUGAUGUUUGAAGACUAUGCUUUGCGAAACUGGCCUUUGCUUCUGGGCUUUAUAGAAAAGCAUGAAAUAUAAUAGUAUUAAAAUAAAUUGUAUAAUAUAUAAUAAAGUAAAAUAUAUGCUUAAAGGUAAAAUAACUCUUGGGUUUACCCUCCCAUGUUUGAUUCAACCUCCUGGCUGUAGGGCUUUUAUUUAGCCCCCUUUAUAUUCUUGUACUUGUUGAGUCUUGGUUCUCAAAGACUCAUGGGAUGAGUGAAUGAGAAUAUUCUGCAGCAGUUCACUUAUUUUACCUCAGGUCUGCAAGUUAUAGCCUCAAAGCAAAAAUUCUAAUAUUUACCACCCAAAAUUACUACUACAAGCCGUGGAAAGCAUUUUUGCAUAUCUUCUAUUUAUACUUGCCUGCCAAAAAGAUUCACUAAUUUUUAUGUGUGUGUUUGUCUGCAUGUGUGUAAGUACACUGUGUGUGUGUGUGUGUGUGUGUGUGUGUGUGUGUGUGUGUGUGUGUGUGCAUGCUUGUGCAGUGCCUGAGGAUGCCAGAAGAGGGUUUUGGAUUCCCUGGAACUGAAGUUAGGAAUGGUUCUGAUUGCCACAUGGAUGCUGGGAACCCAAGUCCCUCCCAUGAGCAGCAGAGCUAUUAAUGACAGAGCCAUCUCUCUAGCCCCCUACUCCUCCAUUUUUAUUCUAUAAUACUGCAUAGCCUAUAGUCAUCACUUCUUAAUCGUCAGUCUUAGUUCCACAUGUAAUUCUGUGUUUGGUGUGCACAACCUCCUGUAGCUCAGUGUUUGUUAGGUUAAUGAUAUAAAAAAUUGCAUUUCUUUGUCUCUGUGCAUACAGGCACAUGCGUGCAGCAGUGCACAUGUGGAGGUCAAGAGACAAUCUCUAUGAGUUAUCUUCCUUCUUCCACCUUGUGGGUCCUGGGUAUUGAACUCAACUUGUCAGGUUCGGCAACAAGAACUCGCCAAACCAUCUCAUUGACCCUGGGUUAUUUUUGUUGUCCUAUUCUGUAGUAGAUUCCUAAAGAAAUACUCAGAGGGAUGACAUUCUCAGAGUUCUCACAUAUUGCUAAUAGUUUACACACACUUUUUGUAACUGAAGAUAUGUUUUACUAGAUGCAAAUCUUGAAUAUGUUCCUUGUGUAACAUCUUAAAUAUGUGUUACUUAUGUAAAUCUUAAAUAUGCCAUCCGGUUUCCCUUUGCUAUAAAACAUUGCUGUCAAAAUGUCUGAUUGUGAUCUAAUUUUCUGUCCCUUUUGGGCUAGAUGCCCAGAGAAUUUUUUUUCUUUUUCUAAUUAGACUGUUAAAAGCUGGGUGUGGUCGUGCAUAUGCAUAAUCCCAGUACUGGGGAAUCUGAGGCAGGAGGAUUAUGAACUAUAGCUUGGGUUGCAUUAUGAGACCCUGUCUCAAAAGUGAAACUUAAAAAAGUAAGGUUCAAGAUAAAACUUCUAGCGUUUUACUUUAGGAAAUUCUUUAAAUUACAUUUUUUCAGUGUUUGUUUUGUUGCCCCCUUUGUUUUUCUUCAAGGGCUUGUGUUGUCCAGAUUUGGGAUCAUUUUAAUUGUUUUGUUCAUUAGUUUUUCGUAGUUCAUAUUUUAUGUUUUUCUCCUCCUCCAACUCCUUCCAGAUUCUCCUCACCUGUCUCUGUCUCUCUGUCUCUGUCUCUGUCUCUCUCUGUCUGUCUCUCUCUCUGUCUCUCUGUCUCUCUCUCUGUCUCUCUCUCUGUCUCUCUCUCUGUCUCUCUCUCUGUCUCUCUCUCUCUGUCUCUGUCUCUGUCUCUCUCUCUCUCUGUCUCUCUCUCUGUCUCUCUCUGUCUCAAACAAAGAAAGAAAGAAGGAAAAGCCCCCAAACAACCAACCAUGAAGUUCAUGUGUGUUGGCCAGGGGCCUGCCAAGAGUCUGGUUAAUAGACCGUUUGAUUCUUCCCUGGAAAAAGACUGCUUUCCCCUCCCCAGCAGGUAGCAAUCGCAUAAAUACCUUUUGAGUUACAGGUGGGACUCUGCCCACCUCCCAUUCUCUGUGCUGGAUUUUGUCCAUUUUGAACCCGUGUAGCUCUAGUGAGUGCCAUCAGUCUCUGUGAGCUCAUAUACACAUCAGUCCUGUUGGAGACAUCCCUCCCUUGGGCUCUUACAAUCUUUCUGUGUCCUCUUCCACAGGGUUCCAUGAACCUUGAGCAGGGGAAGAGGUUUGAUGAAGACACCCCAUAAGGACUGCGUACUCCAAAGUCGCUCACUGUGUGUGUUGUCCAGCUUCUCUACUUGGUUUUGCUCUCUGUUGUCGGCAUCUUUCUCGUGUUCCGUUCGUGUUCGGCCAUCUCGCUACAGGGUCAGGUGAUGGUCUUCGAGUGGGACCUGUGUGGACCAUGUUUGCUUGUCUGGUCUCAGACUCUAAAUCUUGGCUGACCCCGUAGACCAGGCAUCAUCCAUCAUCGCUAUAGAGAAAAUCCUGUGGGCUUCAGUUUCAUCACACUUGCUUACAGUGAAUAUCCCUGGACAAUUUUGAGAUCUGUCACCUGUUGUCCUAUCUGGGGGAUGACUAUGGCUUCCCUCAGCCUUGCCCUACUCACAGGCACCAAGACCAGACACAUCUAUGUCCCUGGUGGUUGCCCACACCACUUGUUUUCGGGAGAGUCUAUCACCACGUUUGGUCAUAAAUACAAUUAGUGGCUCUAGGGUUGGGCUUCUGUUUUCUGCUUCCUGGAGGGAAUUUGCUUUUGAUCAGCACUGCUGUACUACUGUGUCAUUCUCAUGUAGUCAUUUUAGGCAAAGUGGCCAAAUCUUUCCAUGCAUUAAUUGCCUGAUAUUUUGAUUGAAAUGAAAAGCUGUAUGUGUUAACAGGAUCAUAUUUUACUUUUCUGAUAGUGAAACAAAUGUUUUUUCCUGUUUUUCUGAUAGUUCACAUUUGCAUGUCUUUUUCUUGGGCCUCUAUUAAAAAUGGCACCACAGGGUGAAGUA